rnacentral:rRNA from 1 species
AACGAACGCUGGCGGCAUGCCUAACACAUGCAAGUCGAACGAGAUCUUCGGGUCUAGUGGCGCACGGGUGCGUAACGCGUGGGAAUCUGCCCUUUGGUUCGGAAUAACAGUUGGAAACGACUGCUAAUACCGGAUGAUGACGAAAGUCCAAAGAUUUAUCGCCAGAGGAUGAGCCCGCGUAGGAUUAGCUAGUUGGUGUGGUAAGGGCGCACCACGGCGACGAUCCUUAGCUGGUCUGAGAGGAUGAUCAGCCACACUGGGACUGAGACACGGCCCAGACGCCUACGGGAGGCAGCAGUGGGGAAGAUUGGACAAUGGGCGAAAGCCUGAUCCAGCAAUGCCGCGUGAGUGAUGAAGGCCUUAGGGUUGUAAAGCUCUUUUACCCGGGAUGAUAAUGACAGUACCGGGAGAAUAAGCUCCGGCUAACUCCGUGCCAGCAGCCGCCUAA